CACCAGCUUUGAUUCAUUCAGUGCUAGGACUGGUACCUAAUGCUGGGUGUUGGGAAAAUUGCUGUUCUGGGGAGAUAUUUUGGUGGGUGAUGAUAAAAAAAGGAUGGAUGUUAAUUUUCCCAGAGUGGAUAGGAGUCAUGGAAUUUCUGGAAGGAGUCAAAAGUAAAAAUGACAGAAGGAGAUGGAGUUUCCAGCCUUAUGAAUUAAGUUGUGUGCAUCUGUAACGGAAGGACGUCUGUCUCGGUGGCAGCAAUAGCUCUUUUGCUCCUGGAGAACUCUUCCUCUUGACAGAGGUCUACAAACAGAUUUGCAAAGCCAAAGAGAAAAAUUGCUCUCUCUCAUGCAGCAUUCAACUUUCCAUUUUCUUCUGGUUUCUGAAUGUAGAAUUGCAUUUUAUUUUAUUCACUUGGAAAUCCUGCUCUUUAAAAUGAAGAGCUAUUCAAAACACAUAAAAGAUACUGCGAGACACAUAAGUGUUUUUAUCUGCAACCAAUUUUACUGAAAGACUGGAGAAAAGAUGUGGCACAUCCCUUGUAUGAAAUGUUGUAUAAAGAUAUUAAGGGUGUGUGUCCAUACUGCUUAAUAAAGGGACCACAAAAUAUCAAAAAAAGGA